GACAGAGGGUGCAAGCGUUGCUCGGAAUCACUGGGCGUAAAGGGCGCGUAGGCGGGAAUGUAAGUCGGGCGUGAAAUCCCCAGGCUCAACCUGGGAACUGCACUCGAAACUGCGUUUCUUGAGUAUCGGAGAGGAAAGCGGAAUUCCUGGUGUAGAGGUGAAAUUCGUAGAUAUCAGGAGGAACACCAGUGGCGAAGGCGGCUUUCUGGACGGUAACUGACGCUGAGGCGCGAAAGCGUGGGGAGCAAACAGG
rnacentral:rRNA from 1 species